rnacentral:rRNA from 1 species
GGAUUAAUACCUCAUAGUAUAGUACCUUGGCAUCAAGGAACUAAUUAAAGUCACAACGGACAAAAGAUGAGCAUGCGUCCCAUUAGCUAGUUGGUAAGGUAACGGCUUACCAAGGCCACGAGUGGGUAGGGGUCCUGAGAGGGAGAUCCCCCACACUGGUACUGAGACACGGACCAGACUCCUACGGGAGGCAGCAGUGAGGAAUAUUGGACAAUGGGCGCAAGCCUGAUCCAGCCAUGCCGCGUGCAGGAUGACGGUCCUAUGGAUUGUAAACUGCUUUUAUACAGGAAGAAACACUGGUUCGUGAACCAGCUUGACGGUACUGCAAGAAUAAGGAUCGGCUAACUCCGUG